ACGAACGCUGGCGGCAGGCCUCACCCAUGCCAGUCGCGCGAGGACUUCGGUUCUAGCGGCGGACGGGUGAGUAACGCGUGGGAAUGUGCCCUUCUCUACGGAAUAGCCCUGGGAAACUGGGAGUAAUACCGUAUACGCCCUAUUGGGGAAAGAUUUAUCGGAGAAGGAUCAGCCCGCGUUGGAUUAGGUAGUUGGUGGGGUAAUGGCCUACCAAGCCGACGAUCCAUAGCUGGUUUGAGAGGAUGAUCAGCCACACUGGGACUGAGACACGGCCCAGACUCCUACGGGAGGCAGCAGUGGGGAAUCUUAGACAAUGGGGGCAACCCUGAUCGAGCCAUGCCGCGUGAGUGAUGAAGGCCUUAGGGUUGUAAAGCUCUUUCAGCUGGGAAGAUAAUGACGGUACCAGCAGAAGAAGCCCCGGCUAACUCCGUG
rnacentral:rRNA from 1 species